ACGUUAGCGGCGGACAGGUGAGUAACACGUGGGUAACCUACCUAUAAGACUGGGAUAACUUCGGGAAACCGGAGCUAAUACCGGAUAAUAUUUCGAACCGCAUGGUUCGAUAGUGAAAGAUGGUUUUGCUAUCACUUAUAGAUGGACCCGCGCCGUAUUAGCUAGUUGGUAAGGUAACGGCUUACCAAGGCGACGAUACGUAGCCGACCUGAGAGGGUGAUCGGCCACACUGGGACUGAGACACGGUCCAGACUCCUACGGGAGGCAGCAGGC
rnacentral:rRNA from 1 species